AGAACGAACGCUGGCGGCAUGCCUAACACAUGCAAGUCGAACGAAGCCUUCGGGCUUAGUGGCGCACGGGUGCGUAACGCGUGGGAAUCUGCCCUUGGGUUUGGAACAACAGUUAGAAAUGACUGCUAAUACCGGAUGAUGUCUUCGGACCAAAGAUUUAUCGCCCAAGGAUGAGCCCGCGUAGGAUUAGGUAGUUGGUGGGGUAAUGGCCCACCAAGCCGACGAUCCUUAGCUGGUCUGAGAGGAUGAUCAGCCACACUGGGACUGAGACACGGCCCAGACUCCUACGGGAGGCAGCAGUGGGGAAUAUUGGACAAUGGGCGAAAGCCUGAUCCAGCAAUGCCGCGUGAGUGAUGAAGGCCUUAGGGUUGUAAAGCUCUUUUACCAGGGAUGAUAAUGACAGUACCUGGAGAAUAAGCUCCGGCUAACUCCGUGCCAGCAGCCGC
rnacentral:rRNA from 1 species